UGGAAAUGCCCAGAAGAGAGAAAAUAGAACUGGGGAUGAGGAUAUUCAAAUAAACAAUUGGUCAAGGAGUCCACAGAAAGAACAGAUGUUUGAGCAAGAAGAUGAGAGAGUGUCUUUCAGAUAACAGGAGGGAAAGAAAGGACUGUUUCUUCAGAGCCCAGAGGUGAGAAUGUCUCCAGCUUUUCAAGUCACUGUGACUGCAGCUGAAUGGCCAAGGGUGAGGGGAGUUGGAUAUGAGGUGGGAGUAACCAAGUGAUCACAGAGACAUUCUGCUCAGUGGAGGUGGUUCUAAAAAGUAAAUUUAUUUCCCAGUGAAAGAGAUAGUCUUGAGACUAAUGUUAGAUUUCCCCUUCUUCCUGCUCUGAAGAUGACUAUAACCUGCCUUGAGCUAUGACAGACACCUGUAACUUGGAAGAUGCAAAAAAAAUGAAAACAUGGUAAAGCAGGAAGAAUAAGCCUGGAUUCUUGCUGACAUCACUGAGCUCCCUGGCCGAGAUUGUGAGGGUUUUAAACUAAGAAAACAAUACAUAUUUUUAUGGUUUAAGCCACUGUCAUUGAGGUAGUGUGUUAAUUGCUGCCAAAUCUUUCUUAACAAAC
rnacentral:lncRNA from 1 species